UGAUUACUAGCUGGGAGUCACUAAGUCUU
rnacentral:piRNA from 1 species